CUUGAGUUAUAAACAUAAGAGGUCCAGCCUGCCCAGUGAUUAAAUUUAACGGCCGCGGUAUCCUAACCGUGCGAAGGUAGCGUAAUCACUUGUUCUUUAAAUGAGGACUAGUAUGAACGGCACCACGAAGGUUUUACUGUCUCCUUUUCCUAAUCAGUGAAACUAAUCUUCCCGUGAAGAAGCGGGAAUAAACGAAUAAGACGAGAAGACCCUAUGGAGCUUUAAACACAAUAACAAAUACUACUUUAAACAAAAAUUUCUUAAUGACUUACUCCCUGGUAUUAUGAUUAUUAGUUUUAGGUUGGGGUGACCGCGGAGAAAAACACAACCUCCACAUUGAAUGAUAAAAUUCUAAGCAAAGAAUUACAUUUCCACGCAUCAAUACAUUGACAUCAAUUGACCCAAUUAUUUUGAUCAACGAAC
rnacentral:rRNA from 1 species